CACACACACACACACACUAUAUAUAUAUAUAGUGUGUGAAUAAGCUUUUCGUGACAUCGGUAACUUCACUCGCUUCCGUGCCAUUAGGAAUAAUUUAAACAGAAAACGUUGGUGGCCAUGUGCGUGGAAUUUGACGAAUAGGGUGCUUACUUUUCAUUCUGAGAUCUCUGGAAGUGCCGCAGGAUUAAUAAACUGAUAAAAAAACCACAGGUUUUCGGCACGCGGCGAGUGAAUGCAAUCAGAACACUUGGAUGUAUGUACCGACCACCAUAUCUCGCCAGCUUUAUCGAUCAUCAAAUUGGAAACUGUGUAAUUGUGUAUUGAUUCCUUCUGAAACUUGGGAUUUGAGCCCCGUGGUAAAGUGAUGAGAGAGAGGAAGGAUAAAGAGAGGAAGGAUAA